CCACGUUAUCUACCCUAGGAUUUGAAAGACAACCUCCUAACUCCUGAGCGCCAGUGAAAUUCCUUAAAUAUCAGGGUCAUCCAGCAAACUGGCCUCCUACAGAACAUUGCAAUGAUUGUAUCUGUUGAUCUGCCAAGAACUGCAGACCCCAAUCCUUCAACCACUAAUAUACAAGAGUAACUUUACACAGGUGUUAUGUUAUAGUGAAGAUUCCUGCAUUUUCCAUUCUCAAACUUUGGCAUAGUUAACGUGGACAGACGACUCAAGGGCAUCAUUAAUAGAGUGGGAGGAUCAGCUUCAUUUUCAGUUUGCAGCUUACUCAUCUUUGAGGAGUGCUCCCUAUGAGAGAAAUGAAGA